rnacentral:RNase_P_RNA from 1 species
AGUUGGUCGGGUGAUCGCUGCUUUAUGGUUGUGUUCUCUGAACAGACGCAUGAAGGGGAGGAAAGUCCGGGCUCCGCAGAGCAGGGUGCUAGGUAAUGCCUAGGGGAUGUGAAUCCACGACUAGUGCAACAGAAAGUAUACCGCCAUUGCAUAAUGGUAAGGGUGAAAUGGUGCGGUAAGAGCGCACCGCAUAAUUAGCAAUAAUUAUGGCAUGGUAAACUCCACCCGGAGCAAGACCAAAUAGGCCUCAUUGACGUUGCUCGCGUAAGGGGCGGGUUGGUCGCUUGAACCGGUGAGUGAUUGCCGGUCUAGAGGAAUGAUCACUACUGAUUUUUUUCAGACAGAACCCGGCUUACAGACCAACUU